UAAUAAGUGUUUUAUGGCACUUUUUUAAAUCCAUAUCCACCUUGUGUGCAAUUGUCAGUCGAUCUUCUUCAUGGAGAUCGACCAAACAUCAACCUUUAUCUUUUAACUCUUUGUCUGAAAAAUAUUAUGAAUAAACAAUUCAAAAUA
rnacentral:misc_RNA from 1 species